AUUGAACGCUGGUGGCAUGCCUUACACAUGCAAGUCGAACGGUAACGCGGGGCAACCUGGCGACGAGUGGCGAACGGGUGAGUAAUGUAUCGGAACGUGCCCAGUUGUGGGGGAUAACUGCUCGAAAGAGCAGCUAAUACCGCAUACGACCUGAGGGUGAAAGCGGGGGAUCGCAAGACCUCGCGCAAUUGGAGCGGCCGAUAUCAGAUUAGGUAGUUGGUGGGGUAAAGGCUCACCAAGCCAACGAUCUGUAGCUGGUCUGAGAGGACGACCAGCCACACUGGGACUGAGACACGGCCGAGACUCCUACGGGAGGCAGCAGUGGGGAAUUUUGGACAAUGGACGCAAGUCUGAUCCAGCCAUGCCGCGUGCGGGAAGAAGGCCUUCGGGUUGUAAACCGCUUUUGUCAGGGAAGAAACGCUCUGGGUUAAUACCUCGGGGUAAUGACGGUACCUGAAGAAUAAGCACCGGCUAACUACGUGCCAGCCGCCGCGGUAAGAC
rnacentral:rRNA from 1 species